rfam:Salmo salar isolate Sally breed double haploid chromosome ssa11, whole genome shotgun sequence.
UGCAUUCACUACUGUAAGUCGCUCUGGAUAAAAGCGUCUGCUAAAUGACGUGAA